UGACGGGACGGGUUUGACAGGA
rnacentral:snRNA from 1 species